rnacentral:tRNA from 1 species
GGCUCCAUGGCCUAAUGGUUAAGGCAUCUGACUUCGCAUCAGAAGAUUGCGGGUUCGAGUCCCGUCGGGGUCG